rnacentral:rRNA from 1 species
AGUCGAGCGAGUCUGCCUUGAAGAUCGGAGUGCUUGCACUCUGUGAAACAAGAUACAGGCUAGCGGCGGACGGGUGAGUAACACGUGGGUAACCUGCCCAAGAGAUCGGGAUAACACCUGGAAACAGAUGCUAAUACCGGAUAACAACAGAUGAUGCCUAUCAACUGUUUAAAAGAUGGUUCUGCUAUCACUCUUGGAUGGACCUGCGGUGCAUUAGCUAGUUGGUAGGGUAACGGCCUACCAAGGCGAUGAUGCAUAGCCGAGUUGAGAGACUGAUCGGCCACAUUGGGACUGAGACACGGCCCAAACUCCUACGGGAGGCAGCAGUAGGGAAUCUUCCACAAUGGACGCAAGUCUGAUGGAGCAACGCCGCGUGAGUGAAGAAGGGUUUCGGCUCGUAAAGCUCUGUUGUUGGUGAAGAAGGACAGGGGUAGUAACUGACCUUUGUUUGACGGUAAUCAAUUAGAAAGUCACGGCUAACUACGUGCCAGCAGCCGCGGUAAUACGUAGGUGGCAAGCGUUGUCCGGAUUUAUUGGGCGUAAAGCGAGUGCAGGCGGCUCGAUAAGUCUGAUGUGAAAGCCUUCGGCUCAACCGGAGAAUUGCAUCAGAAACUGUCGAGCUUGAGUACAGAAGAGGAGAGUGGAACUCCAUGUGUAGCGGUGAAAUGCGUAGAUAUAUGGAAGAACACCGGUGGCGAAGGCGGCUCUCUGGUCUGUUACUGACGCUGAGGCUCGAAAGCAUGGGUAGCGAACAGGAUUAGAUACCCUGGUAGUCCAUGCCGUANACGAUGAGUGCUAAGUGUUGGGAGGUUUCCGCCUCUCAGUGCUGCAGCUAACGCAUUAAGCACUCC